rnacentral:RNase_P_RNA from 1 species
CGAGUUGGCUGGGCGGCCGCGGCUCGCACUGCGGGUCGAGGAAAGUCCGGACUUCACAGAGCAGGGUGAUUGCUAACAGCAAUCCGAGGUGACUCGCGGGAAAGUGCCACAGAAAACAAACCGCUACCUAGGUAGUAAGGGUGAAACGGUGCGGUAAGAGCGCACCAGCAUUCCGGGUGACCGGAAUGGCUUGGUAAACCCCACCCGAAGCAAGGCCAAGAAGACCGCACUGCGGUGCGGUCGCGCAGGCGUCCGAGGGUUGCUCGCCCGAGCCUGCGGGUAGGCCGCUUGAGGCACCCGGCGACGGUGUGUCCAGAUGGAUGGUCGCCGCCGCGCUGUCAGAAAUGAUGGCGCGGAACAGAAUCCGGCUUACAGGCCAACUCGUCCG